UCUUCUUCUUUUUCAUUUCAUUUUUUGAACAAUGAGUAAAAAUGUAGGAAAGAAUUCGGAUGAGACUUACCUUUGGGAUUGAUUAUUGCUGCAAAAGUUGUUUCUAGCCCUUACGUAGUUUCUUUUUGGUUACACCUGCUUCUUGCAAGGUUGCCUUGGAUUGUACCUGUUUUAUGUUUUCAAACAAAGAAAAAUUGUUAGUUUGAAAUGGUGGUUGGUUUCGUGGCCUUGAUUGUUUCAAUCACUUGAUCUCGACUCGACUUCUUUGAUGGAGAACUCAACUGCAACUGCUUGUUCCCUGAGGAUCGAUUUCAUUUCUGACCCUGGAGAACCUCUAGCUUUUCCAGACUUUGCCAUAACAGUUGGUCACGGGGGACUUAAGCUUUCAACUUGUUUCGCCUUUGUGGGCCUUUCCUUUUUGACUUCCUUUUCUUCUUCUUUUUUUUUUCUUUUUUUUAACUUCAUAGUAUUGGGGAAUUUUUGGCUCCUCUAACUUGGUCGCAAUGGCUAGUCGCGUGGGACUUAUCCUUUUCCAAUUUUAUUCAGCCUUUAUAGGCCUUUCAUUUCUGGCUUUUUCUUCCAGCUUCAGUUUCAGAGCAUUUGGGGUACCUUGGAUUUUCAAAACUUUGCCGAGACGGUUAGCCUCGUAGGACUCAACCCUUUCAACUUUCAAGAGUUUUCAAUUUCAAAACAUCAGCCACCUUGGACGGUCCAAGUCGACUUGAUGCCCCUAACGAGGCUGGGUGCCUUUUUGCAUUUUGGCUUGUAUGAAAUGAGACCCCUGUAAAUCAGUCUUACUAUCCUUUCUUUGUCUUAGUUUCGGAAUAGAGUUAGACCGAAAGGGAUUCAAAGAAAACAAACAAUGGAAUGGAGAAUGAGUUUAAAACAAGAAGUGUCCCUUUCGGGGAAAGGAAAAAAUGGACUUAUCUGGAGUACACGCAGACUUUAAUGAGCAUGACAUGCCUUUUGGACUGGAUGUCUGAUCUAUGUAAACCAUCCGACUCUCAGAAAUUCAUCACAACCUUUGCCUCAAAAUCGAGAAACCUUGCCAGGACUCUGUCGAUACCGAUGGCUGUGAGGAACUUCUUUUCGAUCAGUGGCGCCCUUUGCGGGGUUUCACUAGUUGUCCACUCUCUUUCUCUUCUCACCAUCACCUUAUAGUUCUCUUUGUAAGUUUUCACUAACAAGGCUUUCUCAUUUCUAGUUUUUCUGCUUACUGUCGCCUCACGGUGUCAAUGUGGGUUUUCACCAAUAAGACUCUCUCAUUUUAUUUCUCUGCUUACCAUCGUCUUACGGUGCUCGUGUGGGUUUUCACCAAUAAGACUCUCUCAUUUCAUUUCUCUGAUUUUGCUGUAUCAGAUCCAAGUAGUUGCAUUCUCCGAUCCUGGGACAUUCUUGCCGAUUGAUCGGAAGGACUUGAAAGGAUUUGGGUAAAGUAAUUUGGACUAAAUUACAAUUUUGGAACCAUUCAGGCGGGAUCAUCGCCGAACCAUUGUAAAUUAUGCCCCACUUUCAACUUUUGGGGAAUUUAGAUUUUUGUUAUGGUGUGACUGAACCCCAGAAAGAGGUUGCCUACGUAUCCUUUCGGAAUCAAGUCGAACGUGGUUCAGGAAACUUUAUUUUUUUUUAUUUUCGUAUAUUUUUAUUUUCUUUCUGUUUUAUUUUCUUUUCUUUUUCUUUUCUACGUAUCCCCCUUUUAUUUUCAUUUCAAUUUUUUUUUAAUUUUUUUUUAAUAACACUUUCAGGUUCCAAAGAGGGUAGUCAAAGAAGAGUAACCGGCUCAAAGGGUUUGCAAAGGGUGGAUAGUGUUUGGAUAACGAGAAUGAAAGCCUUCUUCAUCCCAACCAGAGAACAUUACUGUUAUAUAGAGGAUCCAACAUAGUACCUUUUGGCUGCAUUUGCAUUGACAGUUGUUUCAGGGACAUUUCCUUCUAUGUGUCCCAAAUACAACGCACUCUUUUGGCAGUACUCUUGUUGUAAUGUAUGAACCUUCCCAAUCUGGAACAAAUUUUUCUUCAGCUGUUCCAACUCUUUGUUUUAUUUACUUAAACUUAUCUUCACUGUGAUUCUAAUUCUUGAUUCAUUAUUUCGAGUUUUGAUCGCAUUUUAGGAUCUAGGAAUGAAGUCCGCAAGCAUGACAUGUUAUUGAAAUCUGCAUUUAACAGAACUAAAAAGAGAAUAAGAAAAAUGACAAGAUUAAGAAAAGAGAUGUUCCUGGACAAUGAAAUAUUGAUUUCAUUUGAUUUUUUUUGAUUUUUUUUUAAAUUUUUUGAGGAUAGAAGGGUUUACAUCAGAAAGUAAGACAAUAAGGUAAAACAUCCGGAUCAUACCCUGAGAUAAUCGGGACGAAGAAAGGAUAGCAAGACUGGCUACUAAGACUCCCGUCUGAUGGGGAACUUUCCUGCUUGGCAACAAUGUUUUUGGCUUUUCUUCUGUCUCGACAAUGGCUGCAAUGGCCUACAGUGCCAGAUGAAAUUCCUCAUCUUCACAAAUCGUUCCGACUAUUGGCCCACUGUUGUGUGCAGGCAACAGAUUGUUCAUCAUAUCAAGGGCUUCUUCAUCCUUAAAACCAAUUCUUUCAGCUUCAAUCAAAUCUUUAACUACCCUUUUGAGGGUCCAACAGUCCUUUGUAUUGUGUCCCACUACUACCGAGUGGUAUUCACAUCUAGCAUCAGCUGGGUACGCUGGGGACUCGGGGUUCAGCCGGUUCGGGGCCAUUGACUACAAUAGAUCUAGCCUGAUUAGCUUUUGGAACAAGCUUGAAUACGAUUCACCAAUAUGGGUGAACUGAUUCUUUCUGAAAGGCUCUCUUGGUAGAGGACUGUAUUGGGGAUCAUUUGAUUGAGGAUUAUAUGGAGCUUGGUAAGGAUGGGCAUUUUUGGUGGGUGGAGCUCGGUUUUGUGCAUAAUGUUGUGGUCGCGAGUAAGGUUGCACGUUCAUCACUGCACAGGGAGGCGGUGCCACGGCAUAAACAAUAUCUUGAAAGGGAUAAUAGUGUAGUGGGACCAUAGGAGGCACAUAUACUUGGUUGAAUAACCUUCGGGACCCCCUCAAGCUGGAAGCCAUCAUGGCUCCUUCUUCUCUCCCAUUUCCAUUUAUCAAACCAUCUGAACCAUUUUUAACAUCUGGUGAUGUGGCUUUAAAAGCAGCAUGACUCAAGAUUCGGCCCGUUUUUAAACUGUUUUCAACCAUUUCCCCAAUUUUGAUAGCCUCAGCGAACGACUUUCCCACAGCAGACAUCAUGUUCUGGAAGUAGUUAACAUCUUGGGCCUGCAGAAAGACCGUGACCAUUUCAAUUUCGUCUAUUGGAGGCUUUACCCUGACAGCUUGCUCAUGCCAUUUGAAAGCAUAUUCGCGGAAGCUUUCCGCGGUUUUCUUUUUCAAAUUGGACAAGGAUUUUCUGUUGGGAGCGAUGUCCACAUUAUAUUGGAACUGGCGGACAAAAUCUCAAGCCAUAUUGUCCCACACAUGCCAAUGAGUAAUUUCUUGAUCCGUAUACCACUCAGAAGCAAAUCCGGAGAGGCUUUCCGCAAAAUAGGCCAUUAGCAGCUCCUCUUUUCCACCAACACCCCAAGAUGGUUACAAUAUCGUUUCAGAUGAGCGACUGGGACUCCGUACCCAUCGUACUUUUCAAAUUUUGGCAUCUUGAAGCCAGCUGACAAGUGGACAUGGGGAAACAUACAGAGGUCAGAGUAUGAGACACUCUUUUGGCCACUUAGACCUUGCAUGUUUUACAAGAUUUGUUCCAGGGUCUUCAUCUUCCGAGCCAUUUCCUCUUUCUCGGGAUUUUUAACAACCUUUUCUUUCUCCACUGAGAGAUCAUAUUGUGGAGGUUGAGUGAAAGAGUACGGGGUCACAUAUGUAUUUCUGGUUGAAGCUACGGACCCUGAAAGAUGAACAUUGGAGGCAGUGCUCUUGAAGCCAGUGCUUGGGGGAGAACCACAGAAGGCAUGCCAAGAUCAUUGGAGGGCAUUGGAGGGCGCCCGCAUGGGAUGAGCGAGUUGGGCACAGGGGCAUUGGUAACCUCACCUGACCUGGGAAUCAAUUCAGGGAACCCAGGGAUUGCACUUGGCGGUUCCCUACCACUAGACCAGACGUCCCAUAUUUCCAAUAUGCAGAGAUGCAACAUCUUAUUCUCUUCAGCAGUUGCUGAUUAUAGCUGCAGAAUAGCCGAUGUCGGGCUAUCCUCAGGACCGAUGAUUGGUAGAUUGCUUGUAGAGGCCAUCUGCGCCUUUGGAUCUUGUGAAGGAGGGGAGGCUAGACUACUAACAAAACCAACCACCAAAACUUGGCUAAUUUGCACACGCAACAACCUUGUUAGUUUUGAGACAUUUAACAUAUUGGAAAUCGCACGUUGGGAUGCAAUGCACCUAACAGUUAAACGCUUCUACCAUGUGUUUGAAUGGUUGCAUGUUUCAUCCCGACCUUAACUAACUCUUCAGUAUGUACCUCUUUUCUUUUAUUUCUGGCUCUAUUUAAUCACUCUUGAUUUUCUCAUUUUGUUUUUGCCGCUCUUUUAUUUUGGCACUCUCUUUUCUUUUUUGUUUAUUUCACUCUUUUAUUUCUUGUCGCUCUCUCUUUUUUUCCUUUUUUUCACUCUUUUUUUUUCACUCAAUUUUUCUUUCUCUUUUUUUUUCAAUUUAUUUUCACUCAAUUAAUUUUAAGGCUAUGAUCGAAUCCGAUGGGGAUUGCCUACGUAUUAUGACGCCGCAUGAAUCAGAUUUUGCGUAGUUCGGGAAGAUGAGGAACAAGGUAAAUGAGGUAACACUUUUUUUUUGACUUUUCGAAAGAAAUGCUUUAAAAUAAGAAAGAAAAUAUUUUUUUUUGGAUUUUUGAUUUUGAUUUUUCUUUUAUUUUUUUUUGAAAGAUAGACUUCUAAAAAUUUCUUAUCUUUUGAUUUGAAUUUUGGGAAUUUUAAACAUAAAAAAAAAUAUUUUUUUUUUGAAUUUUUAUUUAUUUUCUAGAAGAACAGAAGUUACAGGUAGAAUAGUAAAGUAUUGGGUGGGAAGCACAUGCUCCAAGCUUCUGAAUAGUAAAGCAUUGGAUGAAAGAUAAAACUCAUAGAAAGAAGGGAAUGUCUUCUGCAGUUUAGUGUUUUGAGAAAAUGCCAUCAUGUUUUCCAAAACCCUUCCUUUUUUAUUCUUUUUUUUCUUUUUAUUUCAUUCAUUUCUUUAUAAUUUCCCACAUAGUAAUCUGAGUCUUUCAUUGCACUCAUAUAUAGAAAGUGUAUACACUACUACUACUAACUAGUACUAUAUUAUAACCCUAUAUGUAUAUGGGCUAAUUAUAUGUCAUUACGUUAUUUCACUGGUAAUUUUAUAUACAUGUCACUUUAAUCUGAUAGAAAAAAAAUAUUACUCUAUCAGCUAACACUGAACAGAAAUAUGCUCUUUUCGUGAUAAACGUGCCAAAACAUUAAACGCCAAUGGUAAUAGGGAUUGAUAGGAUUACCUUUGAUUAUUAUUGUUGGACACAAAAAUCAUGUGAACUACAUAUAUUGUUGAGUUUUUAUUAGUCACGAGAAAAAAUCUAAGGGCUCGUUGGUCACCGGGAGUUAUAUGAAAAUUUGAAUUUAAAUUCGAUCAGACCAUAACAUAAUGGGAUCAAUUACUGGAAACUAACAAACUAAAAAAAAUAUAGCAUAUGAUGCCACAAUCCUCUUUAGUUCAUUUAUCCAAUACUCAUCAAAUAAUGAGAGCAAUCAACAUAUAUUGUUAUGCUAGCAUGAGGAUGGACAAAUCCGACAGAAGAAUCAUAUAAAAUGAGUAAUGAAGUCACGAUUUAUCCGGAGUUCAAUUCCUCUUAACUUAAACAGAAUAAGUUCAUGAACAAGCGAAAUCCAGUAGGAAUCAUACGCAAUUAAAUUCAAUUGUGUAUAAAAUUGUGCUAACCUUUCUUCAAAGCACAACUAAACAUGAUUCACAAAGCGAGUUUCCCAUAAAUCUUUAUGCACUGUUUUGAAGUAAGAACAACAAGCAAACUGGACCGAAAGCCAAAUAAAUGCAAGAUGCUUCAAAUUAGAGCCAAGCACAGCAAGAAAAUAGAUCCUUUAGCAGCAAUGACAGUACGGCGAUCCACGGCUCAAAACCAUUUUCAGAAACCUCAAGAAGAAGGAAGUCGAACUCCAUUUUUAAGAAUCAAAAUCAAAGAAGAAGGAGAUGGAAUUUUGCAUUCUAGGAGUGAAGGAGUGGAUAAUAGGGAAAGUUGCGCUCGAAAAAAAGGGGGGAGGGGAUAUUUUGAUUCUUUGAUGUUAAAGAGAGAGAGUGAGAGACGUUAUUCUUUUUCUGGAGAGCUCCCCUCUGUUGAAGGUGAGCGACAUUUCUGUAUGUCUAAGAGAGAGGUUCGAUCUUUUAGG
rnacentral:lncRNA from 1 species